rnacentral:rRNA from 1 species
UACGUAGGGACCGAGCGUUGUCCGGAUUCAUUGGGCGUAAAGAGCUCGUAGGCGGCCACUCAAGUCGAAUGUGAAAUCCCCGAGCUCAACUCGGGAACUGCGUCCGAUACUGGCGGGCUUGAAUCCGGGAGAGGGAUGCGGAAUUCCAGGUGUAGCGGUGAAAUGCGUAGAUAUCUGGAGGAACACCGGUGGCGAAGGCGGCAUCCUGGACCGGCAUUGACGCUGAGGCGCGAAAGCUAGGGGAGCAAACGGG